rnacentral:rRNA from 1 species
CCUACGGGAGGCAGCAGUGAGGAAUAUUGGUCAAUGGGCGGGAGCCUGAACCAGCCAAGCCGCGUGCGGGAAGAAGGUACAGCGUAUCGUAAACCUCUUUUGUCAGGGAACAAAGGCCGGGACUAGUCCCCGGAUGAGGGUACCUGAAGAAAAAGCAUCGGCUAACUCCGUGCCAGCAGCCGCGGUAAUACGGAGGAUGCGAGCGUUAUCCGGAUUUAUUGGGUUUAAAGGGAACGCAGGCGGUCUUUUAAGUCUGAUGUGAAAGCCUUCGGCUUAACCGGCGUAGUGCAUUGGAAACUGGGAGACUAGAGUGCAGAAGAGGAGAGUGGAACGCGAUGUGUAGCGGUGAAAUGCGUAGAUAUAUGGAAGAACACCAGUGGCGAAAGCAGCUUACUGGACUGUAACUGACGUUGAGGCUCGAAAGCGUGGGGAGCGAACAGGAUUAGAUACCCGUGUAGUC